UUUAUCAAAAACAUCGCCUCUUGCAAAAUCAACGAAUAAGAGGUCCCGCCUGCCCAGUGACUAUAUGUUUAACGGCCGCGGUAUUUUGACCGUGCAAAGGUAGCGCAAUCACUUGUCUUUUAAAUGGAGACCUGUAUGAAUGGCACCACGAGGGCUUAACUGUCUCCUUUCUUAGGCCAAUGAAAUUGAUCUCCCCGUGCAGAAGCGGGGAUAUACACAUAAGACGAGAAGACCCUAUGGAGCUUUAGACACUAAGGCAGUUUAUGUUAAAAACCUCUACAUAAAGAGCUAAACUAAAUAAAUCCUGCCCUAAUGUCUUCGGUUGGGGCGACCCCGGGGAAACAAGUAACCCCCAUGAGGAAUAGAAGCAUGCUUCCAAAGCCAAGAGCCACUGCUCUAAGAAUCAGAAUUUCUGACCAUCAGAUCCGGCAAAGCCGAUCAACGGACCGAGUUACCCUAGGGAUAACAGCGCAAUCCCCUUAUAGAGUUCCUAUCGACAAGGGGGUUUACGACCUCGAUGUUGGAUCAGGACAUCCUAAUGGUGCAGCCGCUAUUAAGGGUUCGUUUGUUCAACGAUUAAAGUCCUACGUGAUCUGAGUUCA
rnacentral:rRNA from 1 species